GGGAUAAUUUUUUAUGUAAGCUAUAUCUAUAUACAGAGAGAGAGAGAGAGAGUUCAAUUAGGACACUGUUAAUAGUACACACUAUCUACUUUUUUGCCUACUCAGCCCUAGGCAUCCAAUGAUUAUAGAUAAUCCUAGCAAAAUUACUUUGUUGGUCAGUAAUCUAUUAAAUUAUAUGAAUCCUCAAUAUGUUUUGUCACGUGGCAAGUUUUUCUUUAUCUUCACCGCCAUGUGAUUCUUCCCUUUCUCUUCAUCAAAUUUUUAAUUAACGUAUCCAAUUAAUACAUCUGAAAUGGCCUACUACUAAACUUCCAAUUAAUGUAUUUAAAUUCUCCAUUAAAUGUUUAAUCAACGUAUCUAAUUAAUACAUCUGAAAUGGCCUACUACUAAACUUCCAAUUAAUGUAUUUAAAUGGUUCUCUAUCAAGUUUUUCUUCACCUUCACCACCAUGUGAUUCUUCCCCUUCUCUUCAUCAAAUUUUUAAUUAACGUAUCUAAUUAAUACAUCUAAAAUGGCCCACUACUAAACUUCCAAUUAAUGUAUUUAAAUUCUCCAUUAAAUGUUUAAUUAACGUAUCUAAUUAAUACAUCUAAAAUGGCCCACUGCUAAACUUCCAAUUAAUGUAUUUAAAUGCUCCCUCUGUCAUUAUAAUUCUCACCAUUUUAUUUCUAAUUAAUUUAUUACGAUCCUUCACUUUUCCUCCACAAGACUUCUAAUUAAUCCAUCUUCGUCAAGUUUAAUUUGUUUAUUUAUUUUAAUUAUUUUGUAUAUACAAUUUUGAAAU
rnacentral:lncRNA from 1 species